AAAUACACUAAUAACUAACUGAAAGUUUGCAACACUCGUGUUGUAUUUGAACUUACUCUAAAAGAGACCAUAACUAAAUAUUGGUUGAUAAAAACU
rnacentral:misc_RNA from 1 species